GCCAGCGUGGUAUAAUGGUUUGUGUGUUGGACUAGAACCCUAGAGACCAGGGUUCAAAUCUCUAUUCAGCCA